CAACUACUCCCUCCGUCCGAAAAUACUUGUCAUCAAAAUGGAUAAAAAGAGAUGUAUCUAGAACUAAAAUACAACUAGAUACAUCACCUUUUAUCCAUUUUGAUGACAAGUAUUUCCAGACGGAGGGAGUACUAU
rfam:Triticum urartu cultivar G1812 contig574992, whole genome shotgun sequence.